GGGAAGUUGAGUUUUAUUAUUUGUGCCUAAACAGUCCGUGAUUAAUCAAGGAGUUUCCAUGGCACCUCCCCAGUUUAGUGCACUGGAACAGGAGCAGAAUAAAGGAGUGGCUCUGGCCUUGCUCCCCUGUGUGCUCACCUGUGCCCCUCGGCUGCCUCUUGGCUGCUCAGUGUUUCAUCACAUCCCAGUCGCUGCCUCCUCAGCAGGAAGGGCUGUCACCGGCCCAGGAGCACAUGCCCAUCCCUGCCCUCCUACCAGGACACAGAUUGUAGCAGAGAUGGUAACACGAGUGACAUUUUUAUCACUGAUGUCACUAACAACCUUUAUUCUAAGUAGGAAAGGAAAGAGUGGGAAUGAUUCACCCUUAACCUUGCCUCACUAA
rnacentral:lncRNA from 12 species